AGGUGGAGAAGAUGGAGGAGGAGAAAGAAAAAGAUACAAAAGACAGAAGAGAGCAUCAGUUUGGAUAACUGUGGACUCUAGAUUUUCGUUCCUGACACAGGACCAGCUACAUCAUUCUCGCAAAAUGGAAGUGCAGUCUUCAGCUCAGAAGUCACCGGCAACGUUUACACAGAGACAACUGAACACAAGACCCUCCUGACGUGCUUUUGAGGCCUUCUAGCCAAAAAAGGCAGCCCUGUCAGCCAAAGGUAACACAGCCUAGAAAAUAUUUCUCCCAUUCCUUGGGUUCUUUCCCUUCUG
rnacentral:lncRNA from 1 species